rnacentral:rRNA from 1 species
GACGGACCAUCCAAACGUUAUUCGGAAUUACUGGGCUUAAAGGGUGCGUAGGCGGCGCGGAAAGUUGGGUGUGAAAUCCCUCGGCUUAACCGAGGAAUGGCGCUCAAAACUACCGUGCUUGAGGAAGACAGAGGUGAGCGGAACUUAGGGUGGAGCGGUGAAAUGCGUUGAUAUCAUCAGGAACACCGGUGGCGAAAGCGGCUUACUGGGUCUCUUCUGACGCUGAGGAACGAAAGCUAGGGUAGCGAACGGG